CUCCGGGUGAUCCUGCCGGACCCGACUGCUAUCGGAUUGAGAUUUAGCCAUGCGAGUCGAACGUCCCCCUGUUGCGGGGGGCGUGGCGUACGGCUCAGUAACACGUAGUCAACCUGCCCUGGAGACAAGGACAACCCCGGGAAACUGGGAUUAAUCCUUGAUAGGUCAUCUCAUCUGGAAGGAGAGAUGGCUUAAAGGGGUACGCGGGCUUCUUCCGCGAAUCUGCUCCAGGAUGGGACUGCGUCCGAUCAGGCUGUUGGCGGGGUAAUGGCCCACCAAACCUGUAACCGGUACGGGCCUUGAGAGAGGUGGCCCGGAGAUGGACACUGAGAGAAGGGUCCAGGUCCUACGGGGCGCAGCAGGCGCGAAACCUUCGCAAUGCGCGAAAGCGUGACGAGGUUAAUCCGAGUGACUCCCGCUGAGGGGGUCUUUUGUCAGCUGUAAAUAGGCAGGCGAAUAAGGGGAGGGCAAGCCUGGUGUCAGCCGCCGCGGUAAUACCAGCUCCUCGAGUGGUCGGGGCGAUUAUUGGGCCUAAAGCAUCCGUAGCCGGUUCCGUAGGUCCUCUGUUAAAUCCAACCGCUUAACGGUUGACCUGCAGAGGAUACCGCGGGACUAGGAGGCGGGAGAGGCGGACGGUACUCCGCGUGUAGGGGUAAAAUCCUUUGAUCCGCGGAAGACCACCAGUGGCGAAGGCGGUCCGCCAGAACGCGCUCGACGGUGAGGGAUGAAAGCUGGGGGAGCGAACCGGAUUAGAUACCCGGGUAGUCCCAGCCGUAAACGAUGCUAGCUAGAUGAUUCAUUCGCAAGUCGCGAAUGAAGUGUCGCAGGGAAGCCGUUAAGCUAGCCGCCUGGGGAGUACGGUCGCAAGACUGAAACUUAAAGGAAUUGGCGGGGGGAGCC
rnacentral:rRNA from 1 species